CUUAGUAGCGGCGAGUGAAGCGGCAAAAGCUCAAAUUUGAAAUCUGGCACUUUCAGUGUCCGAGUUGUAAUUUGAAGAAGGUAUCUUUGGGUCUGGCUCUUGUCUAUGUUUCUUGGAACAGAACGUCACAGAGGGUGAGAAUCCCGUGCGAUGAGAUGACCCAGACCUAUGUAAAGUUCCUUCGAAGAGUCGAGUUGUUUGGGAAUGCAGCUCUAAGUGGGUGGUAAAUUCCAUCUAAAGCUAAAUAUUGGCGAGAGACCGAUAGCGAACAAGUACAGUGAUGGAAAGAUGAAAAGAACUUUGAAAAGAGAGUGAAAAAGUACGUGAAAUUGUUGAAAGGGAAGGGCUUGAGAUCAGACUUGGUAUUUUGUAUGUUACUCUCUCGGGGGUGGCCUCUACAGUUUACCGGGCCAGCAUCAGUUUGGGCGG
rnacentral:rRNA from 1 species